AUGGCAUGGUGGAAGAUAUGUGUUCCAAAAGACCAAGGAAGUAUAGGGUUCAGGGAUAUACACUGUUUUAAUCUGGCCCUGUUAGCUAAACAAGCCUGGCAUCUCUUGGAUAAUCCUGAAUCGUUAUGUGCCACAAUAUUAAGAGCCAAAUAUUUCUCGAAGGGUGAUUUGAUGAAUGCAAUUUUAAAAAAGGGUUCCUCUUUUACCUGGCAAGGUAUUAUGGAGGAAGCGAAAUCUCUCAGGAAUGGUUAUAUAUGGAGGGUUGGUAUGAAGAAAAUAUUGAUAUAUGGAGAGAUGCAUGAAUCCCAAAUUGUGUGA
rnacentral:rRNA from 1 species